UUAAGGUAGAGACCGAUAGCAACCACGUGAUCAGUAAAAAUCGUGUAUUUUCACGUGAAAUUAUUUUUCGGAAUUCCGUACAUCGCCAUAGAGUAGUUGAAAAACAAAAAGGGGUUCCGAAAGUACAAGUUGCUGUGACUGAAUCGAUGAUUGAGAGGGUCGUCUCGACGAAAGAUAUAGAAAUUUGGCCAUAGUUUAGAUUAGGAAUACGUCAAUGUAAUAAUAGUGGACUAAAUGUUUCGUCCGUGCAGAAUGGCACUUUUUACCUCACGAAAUUCACCACCAUGCAUAGCUGCGCUACGUAAACAAAGUUGUUGAUGUAGCGUGAUCGUGGUGUCCGAGUGCUGCGAGUUUCAAUACUGUUUAUGUAGUCAUUGAGAGUUUAAACAAAGUUUCUUCUGAGAAGAGGAAUUCGAUGGAUGCAUUCAACGUGGACAACGAAAUCAUAAUUUCGUUUGCAUCAUCCUAAGGACAAGUGCAAGUUGAAAUGGGCUUCCAGCCAACAACUUCAACAGCAAUUUGCCAUGAAAAUCAGCAAGAAAGGUACUUCAUUUACAUUGAUGAUGUCAUAUCCCCUGGACCCCACAACUUCACAGGUUACAGAGAAAAUUCAAGAACUUCUGCAAAAUGUGGGACUUGGAUAGAAUCAAUAAUGUAUUUGUGAGCCCAGAGCAAUGGAUAUAUUGUGCAACAUACUAAAGUGUGAAUUUAAUGGAAAACAAGUACAUGUACUCAUGUAUUACAUGUCUUUUUUAAAGACAAUAAUAUUGUAUAAAUAUAGAGGAAGUGUCAUUGUUGAUUAUUCUAAGUUUUUGAUAUAUCAA